AUAAGAAGUAAGAAACAAUACUACCUAGACAGCAUAUUAAAAAGCAGAGACAUUACUUUGCUGACAAAGUGCACAUAGUCAAUGCUAUGAUUUUUCCAGUAGUCCUGUAUAGAUAUAAGAGUUGGAUCAUAAAGAAGGCUGAGCACCAAAUAAUUUAUUCUUUCCAAUUUUGGCACUAGAGAAGACUCUUGAGGGUCACACAGGACACACAGGACUAAACAAAAGGACACUCUACCAGGGUGGCAGCCAUGGCAUUUUCUUGGGAAAGUCUGGCAUGUACCAGUCUCCAGUCCUAAAACUUAGCUUUUGGAUCCUGUUGCACCCUUGGAAAAACCUCAGUCAACACUGGUCUCCAGCUAAGUCUCCCCUGACCAAAGAAGUAACCAUUGGCCUGCCCUGGGAAAAACUCUAGUUCAUGCCAAGUGCUGGCUACAGCCCUAUUGCUAAGAUGGUUGCCACUGGUGUGCACUGGAAAAAAGGCCUGGCCCAUGUCCACUCCAGCUCCAACUCCAGCCCCAAAUGACAAAUGGUUAAUCAAAGAAGAAAAUAUGACAUUCAUAAAUAUUUAUGCACCCUACAGAGAGCACUUAACUAGAGCAAAUAUUAACAGACAUAAGGGAAAAAUUAACAGAAAUACAGCAAUAUUUGUUGUUGGUCUUCAGUCACUCAGUUGUGUCCAAUUCUUCGUUGCUCCAUGGACUGCAGGACUCCAGGCUUCCCUGUCCUUCACCAUCCCCCAAAGCUUGCUCAAACUCAUGUUUAUUGAGUUGGUGCUGCCAUCCAAUCAUCUCGACCUCUGUUGUCCCCUUCUCUUUUGCCUUUAAUCUUUCCCAGCAUCAAUAAUAUUUGGGGAUAUUAAUACCUCACGUCAAUGGAUAUAUCAUUAAGACAGAAAGUCAGUAAGGAAAUAUUGGCCUUAAAUCUGUACCCCAACAAUUUGGCACCAAGGACCAGUUUUGUGCAAGACUUUUUCCACAGACUAGGAGUAGUGAAUGGUUUGGGGAUGAUUUCAACACAUUUUAAUGCAGAAUCAGUGAGAGCCCUAAGUUUGUAUUCUUGCAAAUAAAGAGUCCCAUUGGGAGUGUAUUGCUUAUGUCCAGUCUACUCUGUAAUCUCAUUUUGGUUGCUCUCACUGCAUAAAAAUCCUUCACAAAGAUAGGAUGUUGGAAAUAGAAGCAGGCUUUUCAGUGCUUUUGUGGCAAUCUCAGGAUAUUGCAGCUUGACUUUAAUCCAGAUCAUAUGGAAAUUUGAAGUUGUCUCAAACAUGCUUUUAAGACCACCAUCAUUUGUGAUCUGAGCAGUUGAUCCUCUUCUAGCAUGGACAAAGUUGAUUCAUCUUGCAUAUUCAAAAAUGGUCUCGGAUCCAUUCCUUCCCAGUUUAAGUGCUUUUUCAUGCCUGAGAAGUAAUGCUCAGUCUUUUGAAAGCUGAGAUAAGUGACCAUGUGUCAGCUGGGAGGAAGAAGGGCCUGGCUCAGUCUCCUUCAAAAUCUCUGCUAAUCUUUGAAAAAUGUCAAAAAUGCUAGUGUUCACUCAUUGUCCCAUAAUUCCAGGUUGGUUUUGAAUAUAACCACUUUAUCUGCCAAGUUGAACACAUUUGUCAUUCUCCCUUGAAGUUACAGAUUGAGUUUGCUGAGCAGAUUGAAUGUAUCACACAAGUAAGCAAGUUUGUGAUCCAUUCUGUGUCACUGAAAUUUGCUACCUGUGGUGAUUGUUUUUCUAAGACAGAUCUCUGGAGUGGCUCUCAUUAAUGCAAAAACUCUGGCCAGUGAUCUACCUUUAGAAGCCCAUUUUACUUCUGUGUAUAAGAGAAGACAUGUAUGCCCUGUAUCAUCUCAACACAGAGCUGCAUGAACAGACAUGAGUUAAAGACAUGCACUUUAAUGAAGUUGAUGGUUUUAAUUACAUCCUGGAAAACUUUCGUAAGUUCAGGUGACAAUUUUUGGCUAGUCAGCAUGUCUCUGUGGAUGGCACAGUAGGUAGACUCACAUUCAGAAGCAAUCUCUUUGACCUGAGUAGUAUAAUCAGAAAGACAUCCAUUCAUGGCAGCUGCUCCAUCUUCUUAGAAAUUGCCUCCCUUCUGGCUCAGAUUGUAGACAAUCUGGCAGCAAUGUGGCUUCCCUGGUAAAGAAUCUGCCUGCAGUGCAGGAGAUGCAGGUUCAAUCCCUGGAUUGGGAUGAUCCACUGGAGGAGGGCAUGACAAUCCACUCCACUAUUCUUGC
ensembl:lncRNA